rnacentral:rRNA from 1 species
CCCGACUGCUAUUUGGGUGAGGAUAAGCCAUGCGAGUUGAAUGGGAAACCUAAAAAUCCCAUGGCAAACUGCUCAGUAACACAUGAUCAACUUACCCUAUAGAGGAAAAUAACCUCGGGAAACUGAGGAUAAUGUUCCAUAGUUGAAUUGGCUUGGAAAAGUUUUUCAAUAAAAGGGAUAAGGAAAAUGGUUCUUAUCUGCUAUAGGAUAGGAUCGUGCUCGAUUAUGGUUGUUGGUGAGGUAAAGGCUCACCAAGCCGAUAAUCGAUAGGGGCCGUGAGAGCGGGAGCCCCGAGAUGGGUACUGAGACAACGACCCAGGCCUUACGAGGCGCAGCAGGCGCGAAACCUCCGCAAUACACGAAAGUGUGACGGGGUUACCCAAAGUGUUCUAUUUAGAACUGUGGUAGGUGAGUAAUGUCCCCUACUAGAAAGGAGAGGGCAAGGCUGGUGCCAGCCGCCGCGGUAAAACCAGCUCUUCAAGUGGUCGGGAUAAUUAUUGGGCUUAAAGUGUCCGUAGCCGGUUUAGUAAGUUCCUGGUAAAAUCGGGUAGCUUAACUAUCUAUAUGCUAGGAAUACUGCUAUACUAGAGGGCGGGAGAGGUCUGAGGUACUACAGGGGUAGGGGUGAAAUCUUAUAAUCCUUGUAGGACCACCAGUGGCGAAGGCGUCAGACUGGAACGCGCCUGACGGUGAGGGACGAAAGCCAGGGGAGCGAACCGGAUUAGAUACCCGGGUAGUCCUGGCCGUAAACGAUGCAUACUAGGUGAUGGCACGGCCAUGAGCCGUGUCAGUGCCGUAGGGAAACCGUUAAGUGUGCCGCCUGGGAAGUACGGUCGCAAGGCUAAAACUUAAAGGAAUUGGCGGGGGAGCACCACAAGGGGUGAAGCCUGCGGUUC